AGUACAUAGUUAACAGAACUUGACCGAAAAUAAGUGAAAGCAGAAAGCCUUAGAGGGUAUUCAUACCAUUGUGUUCAAGCUAGGAGCAAAGUAUCGUGGCAUGUGCUUACUCCUUAUGUAUCCACUUCUUGUGGCAUGUAAGUCAAUUAGCAAAUUGCGCAGAGCUGCAGAUCAAGAGGUGGUUGAUAAAGUUAGGCAGCAUAGUGGCGUACUCGUUGAUCAGAAAUCGUGUUGACAGAUUAUGACGUGUCAAUUUUGCUGCUGCUAAACAAUGCCAACAGCUGCAUGAAAUGGUUCUAAAUCCUCCUAUAAAAGUUGGUGGACUUUUACCUCUUGAAUUACUUUGUACAAUACAGAGUUUGUUUUAUGAUGAUUUGGCUUCACGUGUUGUGGUGCUUUUACUUUCACUUAUGGGUGCACCAGUCCAAUCUUGCAAGCCGAAGUGGGUUUAGACCCUCUUGUUUUGUCCUCGUUAUCCAGAUGAAAGAGUCCUUCAAGAGUUGUGAAUAACAAUUAUGAUAACAAGGAUUUGGAACCUAAACUAAAGAAAAGCUUUGCGGAUACUAGACAAUCUUACAUACAACAUUUAGAUAUAGAUAAUUUAUAAUUUUCUUUUCUGCUGUGUGUAAUUAUUGUGAACAUGCUCCCUUGUAGACUUCACAGAGAGAGAGAGAGAGUUAAACGUGAUUCUGGAGGCUGGGGCAACUACUGUUGGUCUUGGACCACAUUGUCUACAAAUUGAAACUGCUACAGUGGCUCUUUUGUCAGCAUUAAUGUUUUGGUGUGACGACCAGGAGUUAUUCAAGUUCUAGCAAAGCUUGCAGGUUGUGUUCACAUGCUGAGGGGUCCCAAGAAAGCUGCAAGUUAGCACUAUUACAGGAAUUCAGAAGUGAAGGAUCAAAAGGAAAGGAUAAUUUGCUUUGUUGUGUCGGGCCUCAUCCUCACUCCAUUUAAGGAAGCUUACUUUUCUUUGUAAUCUCAAGUGAAUCUGGUGGACGGUUUUGAAAAGUCAAAUUGCUACCUGAGUGGUGAGUGAUAUAAGAUCAGUUAUACAUAUAAGUUGUCUGAUCAAAUCUUUUUUGUUGUGUUUAUUUGUUCAUAUAUAAUUCUUGCUAUUUAUAAGUAGGACAAUUAGUGGCUAAACAGUUAUAAGUGUGGGACGACCAGUGGCAAAACAAAUAAGUGUGGAAGGCCAUAUGUCGAAACCUUUUUUUUAAAACGGCUAUCUAAGUCGUUAGUAAA